rnacentral:rRNA from 1 species
CCUACGGGAGGCUGCAGUGGGGAAUAUUGGACAAUGGGCGAAAGCCUGAUCCAGCCAUGCCGCGUGUGUGAAGAAGGCCUUCGGGUUGUAAAGCACUUUCAGUGGGGAAGAAAGCCUUGGGGCUAAUACCCUCGAGGAAGGACAUCACCCACAGAAGAAGCACCGGCUAACUCCGUGCCAGCAGCCGCGGUAAUACGGAGGGUGCGAGCGUUAAUCGGAAUUACUGGGCGUAAAGCGCGCGUAGGCGGUCUGAUAAGCCGGUUGUGAAAGCCCCGGGCUCAACCUGGGAACGGCAUCCGGAGCUGUCAGGCUAGAGUGCAGGAGAGGAAGGUAGAAUUCCCGGUGUAGCGGUGAAAUGCGUAGAGAUCGGGAGGAAUACCAGUGGCGAAGGCGGCCUUCUGGACUGACACUGACGCUGAGGUGCGAAAGCGUGGGUAGCAAACAGGAUUAGAUACCCUAGUAGUC